rnacentral:rRNA from 1 species
GAUGAACGCUGGCGGCGUGCCUAAUACAUGCAAGUCGAGCGAACGGACGAGAAGCUUGCUUCUCUGAUGUUAGCGGCGGACGGGUGAGUAACACGUGGAUAACCUACCUAUAAGACUGGGAUAACUUCGGGAAACCGGAGCUAAUACCGGAUAAUAUUUUGAACCGCAUGGUUCAAAAGUGAAAGACGGUCUUGCUGUCACUUAUAGAUGGUUCCGCGCUGCAUUAGCUAGUUGGUAAGGUAACGGCUUACCAAGGCAACGAUGCAUAGCCGACCUGAGAGGGUGAUCGGCCACACUGGAACUGAGACACGGUCCAGACUCCUACGGGAGGCAGCAGUAGGGAAUCUUCCGCAAUGGGCGAAAGCCUGACGGAGCAACGCCGCGUGAGUGAUGAAGGUCUUCGGAUCGUAAAACUCUGUUAUUAGGGAAGAACAUAUGUGUGAGUAACUGUGCACAUCUUGACGGUACCUAAUCAGAAAGCCACGGCUAACUACGUG